AUUGAACGCUGGCGGCAGGCCUAACACAUGCAAGUCGAGCGCGCGGCGGACGUGUGAGUAAUGUCUGGGACACUGCCUGUGGGAGGGGGAUCACUACUGGAAACGGUCGCUAAUCCCGCAUCCCAUCAGAUGCGCCCAGAUGGGAUUAGCUCGUAGGUGGGGGAAUGGCUCACCUAGGCGACGAUCCCUAGCUGGUCUGAGAGGAUGACCAGACACACUGGAACUGAGAAACGGUCCAGACUCCUACGGUAGGCAGCAGUGGGGAAUAUUGCACAAUGGGCGCAAGCCUGAUGCAGCCAUGCCGCGUGUGUGAAGAAGGCCUUCGGGUUGUAAAGCACUUUCAGUGAGGAGGCGUUACUCGCAGAAGAAGCACCGGCUAACUCCGUGCCAGCAGCCGCGGUAAUUC
rnacentral:rRNA from 1 species